AUUGAACGCUGGCGGCAGGCCUAACACAUGCAAGUCGAGCGAGCGGCGGACGGGUGAGUAAUGUCUGGGAAACUGCCUGAUGGAGGGGGAUAACUACUGGAAACGGUAGCUAAUACCGCAUACCAUCAGAUGUGCCCAGAUGGGAUUAGCUAGUGGUGGGGGUAAUGGCUCACCUAGGCGACGAUCCCUAGCUGGUAUGAGAGGAUGACCAGCCACACUGGGACUGAGACACGGUCCAGACUCCUACGGGAGGCAGCAGUGGGGAAUAUUGCGCAAUGGGCGCAAGCCUGAUAGAGCCAUGCCGCGUGUGUGAAGAAGGCCUUCGGGUUGUAAAGCACUUUCAGCGGGGAGGCGUUACCCGCAGAGGAAGCACCGGCUAACUCCGUGCCAGCAGCCGCGGUAAUUC
rnacentral:rRNA from 1 species